UACGGAGGGGGCUAGCGUUGUUCGGAAUUACUGGGCGUAAAGCGCACGUAGGCGGCUUUGUAAGUUAGAGGUGAAGGCCCGGGGCUCAACUCCGGAAUUGCCUUUAAAACUGCAUCGCUAGAAUUGUGGAGAGGUAAGUGGAAUUCCGAGUGUAGAGGUGAAAUUCGUAGAUAUUCGGAAGAACACCAGUGGCGAAGGCGACUUACUGGACACAUAUUGACGCUGAGGUGCGAAAGCGUGGGGAGCAAACAGG
rnacentral:rRNA from 1 species